rnacentral:rRNA from 1 species
UGGUGGAGUGAUUUGUCUGCUUAAUUGCGAUAACGAACGAGACCUUAACCUGCUAAAUAGCCCGAGCCGCCCUGGCGGCACGCUGGCUUCUUAGAGGGACUAUCGGCUCAAGCCGAUGGAAGUUUGAGGCAAUAACA